rnacentral:rRNA from 1 species
AUAACGAACGAGACCUUAACCUGCUAAAUAGCCAGGCCCGCUUCGGCGGGUCGCCGGCUUCUUAGAGGGACUAUCGGCUCAAGCCGAUGGAAGUUUGAGGCAAUAACAGGUCUGUGAUGCCCUUAGAUGUUCUGGGCCGCACGCGCGCUACACUGACAGAGCCAACGAGUUCAUCACCUUGGCCGGAAGGUCUGGGUAAUCUUGUUAAACUCUGUCGUGCUGGGGAUAGGGCAUUGCAAUUAUUGCCCUUCAACGAGGAAUGCCUAGUAAGCGCAUGUCAUCAGCAUGCGUUGAUUACGUCCCUGCCCUUUGUACACACCGCCCGUCGCUACUACCGAUUGAAUGG